rnacentral:rRNA from 1 species
GACGAACGCUGGCGGCGUGCUUAACACAUGCAAGUCGAACGGUAAGGCCCUUCGGGGUACACGAGUGGUGAACGGGUGAGUAACACGUGGGUGAUCUGCCCUGCACUUCGGGAUAAGCCUGGAAAACUGGGUCUAAUAACGGAUAGGACCACUGCAGGCAUGGGUGGUGGCGGAAAGCUUUUGCGGUGUGGGAUGGGCCCGCGGCCUAUCAGCUUGUUGGUGGGGUGAUGGCCUACCAAGGCGACGACGGGUAGCCGGCCUGAGAGGGUGACCGGCCACACUGGGACUGAGAUACGGCCCAGACUCCUACGGGAGGCAGCAGUGGGGAAUAUUGCACAAUGGGCGCAAGCCUGAUGCAGCGACGCCGCGUGAGGGAUGACGGCCUUCGGGUUGUAAACCUCUUUCAGCACCGACGAUGCGCAAGUGACGGUAGGUGCAGAAGAAGGACCGGCCAACUACGUGCCAGCCGCCGCCGUAA